UAUUGCACAAUGGGGGAAACCCUGAUGCAGCGACGCCGCGUGAAGGAUGAAGUAUUUCGGUAUGUAAACUUCUAUCACCAGGGAAGAAAAUGACGGUACCUUACUAAGAAGCCCCGGCUAACUCCGUGCCAGCAGCCGCGGUAAUACGUAGGGGGAAAGCGUUAGCCGGAUUUACUGGGUGUAAAGGGAGCGUAGACGGUAUGGCAAGUCGGAUGUGAAAACCCGGGGCUCAACCCCGGGACUGCAUUGGAAACUGUCGGACUAGAGUGUCGGAGAGGCAAGUGGAAUUCCUAGUGUAGCGGUGAAAUGCGUAGAUAUUAGGAGGAACACCAGUGGCGAAGGCGGCUUGCUGGACGAUGACUGACGUUGAGGCUCGAAAGCGUGGGGAGCAAACAGGA
rnacentral:rRNA from 1 species